GUGGGGAAUAUUGGGCAAUGGGCGAAAGCCUGACCCAGCAACGCCGCGUGAAGGAAGAAGGUCUUCGGAUCGUAAACUUCUAUCCUUGGUGAAGAUAAUGACGGUAGCCGAGAAGGAAGCCCCGGCUAACUACGUGCCAGCAGCCGCGGUAAUACGUAGGGGGCAAGCGUUGUCCGGAAUGAUUGGGCGUAAAGGGCGCGUAGGCGGCCUGGUAAGGCUGGAGUGAAAGUCCUGAUUUUAAGGUGGGAAUUGCUUUGGAUACUGUCGGGCUUUAGUGCAGGAGAGGUAAGUGGAAUUCCCGGUGUAGCGGUGAAAUGCGUAGAGAUCGGGAGGAACACCAGUGGCGAAGGCGACUUACUGGACUGUAACUGACGCUGAGGCGCGAAAGUGUGGGGAGCAAACAGGAUUAGAUACCCCGGUAGUCC
rnacentral:rRNA from 1 species